rnacentral:lncRNA from 10 species
AGUGAGGUCCCUCUUGGCAGCCUUUGUAUCUAGAGAGAGCCGUCCAAUAGAAACAUAAGGACAUCUGAGUUUGGAUGUUACCUUUUUAUUGGAAAUAUGGGAUCUGCACUUAGAUUUCACUGAAUUUACAUUGAAAAGAGGGCAGGCCCUUCAGCUCCAUUCUCCUCCAAGGCUGCAGAGGGGGCAGGAAUUGGGGGUGACAGGAGAGCUGUAAGGUCUCCAGUGGGUCAUUCUGGGCCCAGAGAUGGGUGCUGAAGCUCCCACGCCUGCCUGUGAAAAUGGAGUCCUCUUUCACCUGGGAGAGCCAGGUGCUGCCCCGAGAAGGAUGCAUUUAUGGCUUCGUGAAGUCUUUCCUGACCCCCGAUGCUGCUGACUAUAGGUAAGUCUGAGCAAAUCUGGGGGAGCCUCAUCUUGGCAUGAGAAAGAGAUGGCUUCUUCUAAGCCCACUGGCCGUGAUCCCAGGAUUAUAACACAUUCUGGCUCAAGUCCAGACUAUUUGUAGAACACAGGAGAUCCUCCAUGAGAGGUAGUAUAAUAUAGAGGAUAUGUGUGCUUACUAAGAGGCUGCCUGUCUGACCUUGGACAAGUUCUUUUUAUUUAUUUAUUUAUUUUUUAUAGAGACAAAGUCUCACUAUGUUGCUCAGGCUGGUCUUGAACUCCUGGCCUCAAGCGAUCCUCCCACCUCAGCCUCCCAAAGUGUUGGGAUUAUAGACAUGAGCCACUGCACCUGGCCGACCUUGGGCAAGUUCUUAAACCCUUCAAAGCCUCAUUUUUCUCCAAUCACAAAAGGGAAAGAUGGUAAUAUUUUCCCCACCAAAUUCUUGUCGGAUGCCCUCACAGAAUUGAGAUUAUGUACGUAAAACACCAGGUGCCUAACCCGGCACAGAGCAGGAGGGCUAAGCGUGACAUCCAGCACGUGGUCAGUGGAAUCCAGUAUUCCUACCCACCUCUCUAGUCUCCCCUCCACCCCUCUCCCUUUCAGAGGCACCAAGCUGCUUGUGGUCUUGUCUAUUCCCACUCCCUGCCUGACUGAACAUUUUCUCCACCUCCUGAUCAUCAGCAGCAGAAACUGGCUGCUCUUCCUCCUGGGUAGACAGCCAGACUGUAUUUCCCAGCUGCCCCUGCAGUGAGAUGUGGCCAUCGGAGCCAGCAUUGGCCAAUGGACUCUGCAUGGGAGUGACGCAUGCUGCCUCCAGGCUUGUCUCUAAAACCUCCCACGUGUCCUCCGCCUGCUCUUCCCACCUCCA